rnacentral:rRNA from 1 species
UUAUAAGAGACAGCAGCAGCCGCGGUAAUACGAAGGGUGCAAGCGUUACUCGGAAUUACUGGGCGUAAAGCGUGCGUAGGUGGUGGUUUAAGUCCGUUGUGAAAGCCCUGGGCUCAACCUGGGAAUUGCAGUGGAUACUGGGUCACUAGAGUGUGGUAGAGGAUAGUGGAAUUUCCGGUGUAGCAGUGAAAUGCGUAGAGAUCGGAAGGAACAUCUGUGGCGAAGGCGACUAUCUGGGCCAACACUGACACUGAGGCACGAAAGCGUGGGGAGCAAACAGGAUUAGAUACCCCUGUAGUCCCUGUCUCUUAUAC